AUUGAACGCUGGCGGCAGGCCUAACACAUGCAAGUCGAGCGAGUGGCGGACGGGUGAGUAAUGUCUGGGGAUCUGCCCGAUGGAGGGGGAUAACUACUGGAAACGGUAGCUAAUACCGCAUACCAUCGGAUGAACCCAGAUGGGAUUAGCUAGUAGGUGGGGUAACGGCUCACCUAGGCGACGAUCCCUAGCUGGUCUGAGAGGAUGACCAGCCACACGGGGAAUUAGACAAGGCCCAGCCGCCUACGGGAGGAGGCAGUGGGGGAUAGUGCAAUAUGGGCGCAAGCUGUAUGCAGCCAGGCCGCGUGGAUGAAGAAGGCCUUAGGGUUGUAAAGUACUUUCAGCGGGGAGGCGUUACCCGCAGAAGAAGCACCGGCUAACUCCGUGCCAGACGCCGCGGUAAUAC
rnacentral:rRNA from 1 species